rnacentral:rRNA from 1 species
AAAGCGGUUACCUCUAUAUGUCGUAUCGGUCGGCAGCACGGGUGCUUGCGCCUGGUGGCGAGUGGCGAACGGGUGAGUAAUACAUCGGAACAUGUCCUGUAGUGGGGGAUAGCCCGGCGAAAGCCGGAUUAAUACCGCAUACGAUCCACGGAUGAAAGCGGGGGACCUUCGGGCCUCGCGCUAUAGGGUUGGCCGAUGGCUGAUUAGCUAGUUGGUGGGGUAAAGGCCUACCAAGGCGACGAUCAGUAGCUGGUCUGAGAGGACGACCAGCCACACUGGGACUGAGACACGGCCCAGACUCCUACGGGAGGCAGCAGUGGGGAAUUUUGGACAAUGGGCGAAAGCCUGAUCCAGCAAUGCCGCGUGUGUGAAGAAGGCCUUCGGGUUGUAAAGCACUUUUGUCCGGAAAGAAAUCCUUGGCUCUAAUACAGUCGGGGGAUGACGGUACCGGAAGAAUAAGCACCGGCUAACUACGUGCCAGCAGCCGCGGUAAUACGUAGGGUGCGAGCGUUAAUCGGAAUUACUGGGCGUAAAGCGUGCGCAGGCGGUCUGUUAAGACAGAUGUGAAAUCCCCGGGCUCAACCUGGGAACUGCAUUUGUGACUGGCAGGCUAGAGUAUGGCAGAGGGGGGUAGAAUUCCACGUGUAGCAGUGAAAUGCGUAGAGAUGUGGAGGAAUACCGAUGGCGAAGGCAGCCCCCUGGGCCAAUACUGACGCUCAUGCACGAAAGCGUGGGGAGCAAACAGGAUUAGAUACCCUGGUAGUCCACGCCCUAAACGAUGUCAACUAGUUGUUGGGGAUUCAUUUCCUUAGUAACGUAGCUAACGCGUGAAGUUGACCGCCUGGGGAGUACGGUCGCAAGAUUAAAACUCAAAGGAAUUGACGGGGACCCGCACAAGCGGUGGAUGAUGUGGAUUAAUUCGAUGCAACGCGAAAAACCUUACCUACCCUUGACAUGGUCGGAAUCCUGAAGAGAUUCGGGAGUGCUCGAAAGAGAACCGGCGCACAGGUGCUGCAUGGCUGUCGUCAGCUCGUGUCGUGAGAUGUUGGGUUAAGUCCCGCAACGAGCGCAACCCUUGUCCUUAGUUGCUACGCAAGAGCACUCUAAGGAGACUGCCGGUGACAAACCGGAGGAAAGGUGGGGAUGACGUCAAGUCCUCAUGGCCCUUAUGGGUAGGGCUUCACACGUCAUACAAUGGUCGGAAACAGAGGGUUGCCAACCCGCGAGGGGGAGCUAAUCCCAGAAAACCGAUCGUAUUCCGGAUUGCCUCUCGCACUCCGAGGGGUGAAACUGGGAUCCCUAGUAAUCCCGGAUAACCAUGCGCCGGGGAGAAACUUUCCCGGGGUUUGGACACCCGCCGGUCAACACAUGGGAGAGGUGUUUUCCACAAAUGGUGGUCUACCCCCCAGGGGGAGCGCCCCCCGAAGUUCACGGGGGGGGGGGGGGUCCAAAAGGGGG